rnacentral:rRNA from 1 species
ACUAAGCGUACACGGUGGAUGCCCUGGCAGUCAGAGGCGAUGAAGGGCGUGCUAAUCUGCGAUAAGCGCCGGUAAGGUGAUAUGAACCGUUAUAACCGGCGAUACCCGAAUGGGGAAACCCAGUGUGACUCGUCACACUAUCAUUAACUGAAUCCAUAGGUUAAUGAGGCGAACCGGGGGAACUGAAACAUCUAAGUACCCCGAGGAAAAGAAAUCAACCGAGAUUCCCCCAGUAGCGGCGAGCGAACGGGGAGGAGCCCAGAGCCUGAAUCAGCAUGUGUGUUAGUGGAAGCGUCUGGAAAGGCGCGCGAUACAGGGUGACAGCCCCGUACACAAAAGCGCAUGUGCUGUGAGCUCGAUGAGUAGGGCGGGACACGUGGUAUCCUGUCUGAAUAUGGGGGGACCAUCCUCCAAGGCUAAAUACUCCUGACUGACCGAUAGUGAACCAGUACCGUGAGGGAAAGGCGAAAAGAACCCCGGCGAGGGGAGUGAAAAAGAACCUGAAACCGUGUACGUACAAGCAGUGGGAGCCCCACCACCAAAGCAUUCUCUGGUGUUGAAGGCCCUGCAAAGCAGCAUCGCGGUGGCGGAGCGUCGUUUGCGACGCCCAACACACAAAACAAGCGGUGAAUGCUUUGGGGUGGGGUGACUGCGUACCUUUUGUAUAAUGGGUCAGCGACUUAUAUUCUGUAGCAAGGUUAACCGAAUAGGGGAGCCGGAGGGAAACCGAGUCUUAAUUGGGCGUUAAGUUGCAGGGUAUAGACCCGAAACCCGGUGAUCUAGCCAUGGGCAGGUUGAAGGUUGGGUAACACUAACUGGAGGACCGAACCGACUAAUGUUGAAAAAUUAGCGGAUGACCUGUGGCUGGGGGUGAAAGGCCAAUCAAACCGGGAGAUAGCUGGUUCUCCCCGAAAGCUAUUUAGGUAGCGCCUCGUGAAUUCAUCUCCGGGGGUAGAGCACUGUUUCGGCUAGGGGGCCAUCCCGGCUUACCAACCCGAUGCAAACUGCGAAUACCGGAGAAUGUUAUCACGGGAGACACACGGCGGGUGCUAACGUCCGUCGUGAAGAGGGAAACAACCCAGACCGCCAGCUAAGGUCCCAAAGUCAUGGUUAAGUGGGAAACGAUGUGGGAAGGCCCAGACAGCCAGGAUGUUGGCUUAGAAGCAGCCAUCAUUUAAAGAAAGCGUAAUAGCUCACUGGUCGAGUCGGCCUGCGCGGAAGAUGUAACGGGGCUAAACCAUGCACCGAAGCUGCGGCAGCGACGCUGAUGCGUUGUUGGGUAGGGGAGCGUUCUGUAAGCCUGCGAAGGUGACCUGUGAGGGUUGCUGGAGGUAUCAGAAGUGCGAAUGCUGACAUAAGUAACGAUAAAGCGGGUGAAAAGCCCGCUCGCCGGAAGACCAAGGGUUCCUGUCCAACGUUAAUCGGGGCAGGGUGAGUCGACCCCUAAGGCGAGGCCGAAAGGCGUAGUCGAUGGGAAACGGGUUAAUAUUCCCGUACUUGGUGUUACUGCGAAGGGGGGACGGAGAAGGCUAUGUUGGCCGGGCGACGGUUGUCCCGGUUUAAGCGUGUAGGUGUGUGUUCCAGGUAAAUCCGGUUCACUUUAACACUGAGGCGUGAUGACGAGGCACUACGGUGCUGAAGCAACAAAUGCCCUGCUUCCAGGAAAAGCCUCUAAGCAUCAGGUAACAUCAAAUCGUACCCCAAACCGACACAGGUGGUCAGGUAGAGAAUACCAAGGCGCUUGAGAGAACUCGGGUGAAGGAACUAGGCAAAAUGGUGCCGUAACUUCGGGAGAAGGCACGCUGACACGUAGGUGAAGUGAUUUACUCACGGAGCUGAAGUCAGUCGAAGAUACCAGCUGGCUGCAACUGUUUAUUAAAAACACAGCACUGUGCAAACACGAAAGUGGACGUAUACGGUGUGACGCCUGCCCGGUGCCGGAAGGUUAAUUGAUGGGGUCAGCGCAAGCGAAGCUCCUGAUCGAAGCCCCGGUAAACGGCGGCCGUAACUAUAACGGUCCUAAGGUAGCGAAAUUCCUUGUCGGGUAAGUUCCGACCUGCACGAAUGGCGUAAUGAUGGCCAGGCUGUCUCCACCCGAGACUCAGUGAAAUUGAACUCGCUGUGAAGAUGCAGUGUACCCGCGGCAAGACGGAAAGACCCCGUGAACCUUUACUAUAGCUUGACACUGAACAUUGAGCCUUGAUGUGUAGGAUAGGUGGGAGGCUUUGAAGUGUGGACGCCAGUCUGCAUGGAGCCGACCUUGAAAUACCACCCUUUAAUGUUUGAUGUUCUAACGUGGACCCGUUACCCGGGUUGCGGACAGUGUCUGGUGGGUAGUUUGACUGGGGCGGUCUCCUCCUAAAGAGUAACGGAGGAGCACGAAGGUUGGCUAAUCCUGGUCGGACAUCAGGAGGUUAGUGCAAUGGCAUAAGCCAGCUUGACUGCGAGCGUGACGGCGCGAGCAGGUGCGAAAGCAGGUCAUAGUGAUCCGGUGGUUCUGAAUGGAAGGGCCAUCGCUCAACGGAUAAAAGGUACUCCGGGGAUAACAGGCUGAUACCGCCCAAGAGUUCAUAUCGACGGCGGUGUUUGGCACCUCGAUGUCGGCUCAUCACAUCCUGGGGCUGAAGUAGGUCCCAAGGGUAUGGCUGUUCGCCAUUUAAAGUGGUACGCGAGCUGGGUUUAGAACGUCGUGAGACAGUUCGGUCCCUAUCUGCCGUGGGCGCUGGAGAACUGAGGGGGGCUGCUCCUAGUACGAGAGGACCGGAGUGGACGCAUCACUGGUGUUCGGGUUGUCAUGCCAAUGGCACUGCCCGGUAGCUAAAUGCGGAAGAGAUAAGUGCUGAAAGCAUCUAAGCACGAAACUUGCCCCGAGAUGAGUUCUCCCUGAGACUUAAAGUCUCCUGAAGGAACGUUGAAGACGACGACGUUGAUAGGCCGGGUGUGUAAGCGCAGCGAUGCGUUGAGCUAACCGGUACUAAUGAACCGUGAGGCUUAACC